GAUGAACGCUGGCGGCGUGCCUAAUACAUGCAAGUCGAACGCUUCUUCCCUCCCCUGUGUUCGCACUCAAUUGGAAAGGGGAGGUGCGGAAGGGGGAGUAACACGUGGGUAACGUAUGGAUCAGCGUGGGAUAACACUUGGAAACAGGUGAUAAUAUCGUGUAACAGUUUGUGCCACAGGGCAUAAGAGUGUUGGGGGCUCUUGGGGGUCGCUGCUGGCUGGACCCGCGGCGCAUUAGCUAGUUGGUGAGGUAACGGCUCACCAAGGCGACGAUGCGUAGCCGACCUGAGAGGGUGAUCGGCCACACUGGGACUGAGACACGGCCCAGACUCCUACGGGAGGCAGCAGUAGGGAAUCUUCGGCAAUGGGCGAAAGUCUGACCGAGCAACGCCGCGUGAGUGAAGAAGGUUUUCGGAUCGUAAAACUCUGUUGUUAGGGAAGAACAAGGGCGUUAGUAACUGAACGUCCCCUGACGGUACCUAACCAGAAAGCCACGGCUAACUACGUG
rnacentral:rRNA from 1 species